rnacentral:rRNA from 1 species
UACGAAGGGGGCUAGCGUUGCUCGGAAUCACUGGGCGUAAAGGGCGCGUAGGCGGAUGUUUAAGUCAGAGGUGAAAGCCUGGAGCUCAACUCCAGAACUGCCUUUGAUACUGGGCAUCUUGAGUCCGGAAGAGGUAAGUGGAACUGCGAGUGUAGAGGUGAAAUUCGUAGAUAUUCGCAAGAACACCAGUGGCGAAGGCGGCUACUGGCCGGUACUGACGCUGAGGUGCGAAAGCGUGGGGAGCAAACAGG